rnacentral:lncRNA from 1 species
UGAGCACAGAGAUACGUAAUCAACCAGGCAGCAGUCGUCACCCACAUGGGGUCACACAGUGCUCUCUGGCACCAAUUCCCACCUCACAGAACCUGGCUGCUUAGAGGGCUGAGUCCCGAUCAGAGCAGGAAGUUCUCAGAAUCGGCACAAGUCUAAGCUCAUAUCAUCCAGAAAGCAGGGCAACUUCCAAAGCCUCCAGGGGACAUAAUCACAGGAAAAAACUAGUAACUGCAGGGUCACCGAAGGAUCGAGUGGAGAAACUGACGGCAAUUAAUAAGCAAUGAAGAAUGACCUGGUGUGACACUUUGAAGCUCCUGAUGGAUCAAGCCCAGAUGAUCACAAGAAAACACUAUUCCUGUGGAGGCACCACCAAGGACAUUGUCUUGAUGUCCCCUAACAUUUGAACGUGGAUCUGCCCAAACCUCUAGCUCCAAAUGUGUUACAAGAAUACAGAAAAACCAAAUGACAUGCUAGAGACAUUCUUAGAGACGCCAGCAACAAUACCACAUCUACUCCCAUGUACAAAACCACAGAGCCAAUGCAUUGGCUCCCUCCAAAGAACGAGCCAGAUUUGUUUGGUUCCCAACAUAAACAAACUGUUGAAAAAUAAAAUUAAUGUGAUACCCUGAGAAAUACAAAUGCUGGCAAAAUACUCCAUGGUAUUCGAAGUGUUCUUUUUAUAC